UAUGUUUCUUAAUCGAAAUCAUAUCGCCAUAAUCAACCAUAUAGAUUCUGAGGUUAUAAACAUGUCUACAUGCCAUGUCAAAAGAUAUACAACACCAUAGACCAUAAGCUCAAAAUAGCAGCCCACAAAAUAACCCUACAGGUCGUCAUCCAUGCACAUUGAACUCUGGAAUCCCGUAAGAGUUCCACAGCUAACCGUGCUCUCUAUGUAGUUCGAGGCUCACUUACAAUGCAAAAUUACAUAAGCCAAUGCUUACUAAGCAAAAAUCAUUCAUGUCAUGAAUAUGAAUAAUAAUGAUACAUGCCACUAUGCCAUUUACUUUAAACAUCAAGAUAAAAAAGCAUCAUAUUCCAAAAUGUAUCAAGGUCGACUCGAAAUCAUUUCAUUUGAAACCUUUCAUUUCAUUGGGCCCUUGACCCACCUACUACACACCGGAUAGAUCUCUGCACAAUAUCAAUAUCAAUAAUCAAAUGACCAAUAUGAAAUCGUCAUCGAUGAGUGGACCAUCCUUUCGUGAUCACUAGAGGUUCAUCCCCUAACUACCCCUAUGAUCACCCAAGAAGUCUCCCACCCAGCAGCGCCAAUAAUCAUAAUAUCAUAAGGGCACAGUCGAGUGGUCCAUCCUCCCAUGAUCACCAUAGGCUCAUCCCCUGUCUACCUUUGCAAUCACCCAGAAAGUAUCACCCGCGAUGCAAAAUAUAUCACAUAAGCAUGCCUCACAUGCCUCGGUGCCCUAGUAGUGGUCAAUAAAAUAUUUAUAAAGAAAACUCACUUUGAAAUCAUAUUUCGCAUACAGGAUUUUCAAC
rnacentral:lncRNA from 1 species